UGUGUGUGUGUCCCUCUACCUGCGUAGCUCCUGGUUCUGUUUCUCCAGGCUCUGCUUCAUGUCUAGCAGGUGUGUGUGUGUGUGUGUGUGUCCCUCUACCUGCGUAGCUCCUGGUUCUGUUUCUCCAGGCUCUGCUUCAUGUCUAGCAGGUGUGUGUGUGUGUGUGUGUGUGUGUGUCCCUCUACCUGCGUAGCUCCUGGUUCUGUUUCUCCAGGCUCUGCUUCAUGUCUAGCAGGUGUGUGUGUGUGUGUGUGUGUGUGUCCCUCUACCUGCGUAGCUCCUGGUUCUGUUUCUCCAGGCUCUGCUUCAUGUCUAGCAGGUGUGUGUGUGUGUGUGUGUGUCCCUCUACCUGCGUAGCUCCUGGUUCUGUUUCUCCAGGCUCUGCUUCAUGUCUAGCAGGUGUGUGUGUGUGUGUGUGUGUGUGUCCCUCUACCUGCGUAGCUCCUG